GUGCACCAGGCGCGAAUCAUCCGCAAUGCGCGCAAGCGUGACGGUGCGACGCCGCGUGCGGGGAGGAAGCCCCUCGGGGUGUAAACCGCUUUUCAGGGGUAUGAAGCGGCUUCGGUGAAUAGCCGGAGUCGUUGACGUCAACCCUGGAAUAAGCCCCUGCUAACUUCGUGCCAGCAGCCGCGGUAAUACGGAGGGGGCAAGCGUUGCUCGGAAUCACUGGGCUUAGAGCGGGCGUAGGCGGUCCGGUCAGUCGGAUGUGAAAGUACCGUCGGCUUAACCGAGGAAGGGCGUCCGAUACUGCCGGGCUUGAGGCAUCC
rnacentral:rRNA from 1 species